rnacentral:rRNA from 1 species
GGAUUAGAUACCCUGGUAGUCCACGCCGUAAACUAUCAAUACUCGUUCUCAGCUCUUUAGGAGUUGGGGACCAAGCGAAAGUGAUAAGUAUUGCACCUGGGGAGUACGAUCGCAAGGUUGAAACUCAAAGGAAUUGACGGGGGCCCGCACAAGCGGUGGAGCAUGUGGUUUAAUUCGAUGAUACGCGAGGAACCUUACCAGGGCUUAAAUGCAGAACGCAUAAUUUGGAAACAGAUUAGUCUUCGGACGGUCUGCAAGGUGCUGCAUGGCUGUCGUCAGCUCGUGUUG